AAUGUCAAAGAGGAAAACAAAAGUUUUAUAUUCUUUUUUCAGCAGCAGCAACAAUUACGUUCUCUAAAAUUCACUCCCAAACCCUAAACCUCACACAGCACACAAAGGUUCGCUUUUGGUCAGUUUCUCCGCCAUCGCAGUAGCACUCAUAGCUUCGCUAGGGGGGCAAAACCAAUCGUAGUCUCUGAAGUCCAAGGGGGCAAAACCAAGGAAAUUUCAGAUUGGUGACUGUGACAACACUUGGCUUAAUUGAUCUAUCAAAGGGCUGGAUUCAAUGGAUGCUAUAUAGGUUUGGUCAACGUCGAUCCUGCUACCGGCAAGGCCGACGGUCCCCACAAGAAGAAAUUAAGAACAUAUUUGGAGAUUGUCGCUCGUGAUAAGGUCGACGUCACAUAUGACACCUGGAAGGAAGUCCCUACUGCUCAGAAGGAUUUGAUAUGGGAGGAUAUUCAGACGGAAUUUGAAAUCCCUGAAGCUUCUGACGGUAGGACAAAGAAGAAAAUUCUUCAGAUUGUCGGCGAGCGCUGGAGGCAGUUUAAAUUUGACUUGACUAGGAAAUGGGCACUUGCAGCCGACAAGGACGGUGUGGACGACAUUGUCUGUGAAAAAUAUGGCAUUAGCAAGGAGAAAUGGGCCCAGUUUUGUCAGACCCGUAGAGACCCCUCAUGGGAGGAUGUGCGGAAAAAGGCACAGGCCUCCCAGAAGCAAAACACUGC